GCUUGCCUUCUGACCAUUUCAGCUGCAAAGAGUUAACAUAAAAUAAGACUCAGAAAUAACAAAGGCAAGAAUUCCUCUAAAUGAAUGUCAAUUUAGCAAAACCAGAAAUGGUUGAUGGAGAAUUUCAUCGAAUAACGUAAAAAAAUGAAAAAGGGUCGGAAGCCUUAGGUGCAUAAUUAUCAUAGAUAUGUAAUUAGGAAAAAAGGUGAAAAAUCGAAAUACCGAAUAUGCAACCAACGGACCACA
rnacentral:misc_RNA from 1 species